rnacentral:rRNA from 1 species
AGUGAACGCUGGCGGUAGGCCUAACACAUGCAAGUCGAACGGCAGCACAGGAGAGCUUGCUCUCUGGGUGGCGAGUGGCGGACGGGUGAGGAAUACAUCGGAAUCUACUUUUUCGUGGGGGAUAACGUAGGGAAACUUACGCUAAUACCGCAUACGACCUACGGGUGAAAGCAGGGGAUCUUCGGACCUUGCGCGAUUGAAUGAGCCGAUGUCGGAUUAGCGAGUUGGCGGGGUAAAGGCCCACCAAGGCGACGAUCCGUAGCUGGUCUGAGAGGAUGAUCAGCCAGACUGGAACUGAGACACGGUCCAGACUCCUACGGGAGGCAGCAGUGGGGAAUAUUGGACAAUGGGCGUAAGCCUGAUCCAGCCAUACCGCGUGGGUGAAGAAGGCCUUCGGGUUGUAAAGCCCUUUUGUUGGGAAAGAAAUCCAGCUGGUUAAUACCCGGUUGGGAUGACGGUACCCAAAGAGUAAGCACCGGCUAACUUCGUGCCAGCCGCCGCGGUAA